AGAGUUUGAUCCUGGCUCAGGAUAAACGCUGGCGGCGUGCCUUACGCAUGCAAGUCGAACGAUUCUAAUUUAUUAGUUUAGUGGCAAACGGGUGAGUAACACGUAAGUAACCUGCCCUUUAGUGGAGGAUAGCCUCGGGAAACCGGGGUUAAUACCGCGUAAUAUAGUAGAGGUAAAGCACUACUAUUAAAGCCUUAGGGCGCUAAAGGAGGGGCUUGCGUCCGAUUAGCUAGUUGGUGGGGUAACGGUUCACCAAGGCAGUGAUCGGUAACUGGUCUGAGAGGACGGUCAGUCACACUGGGACUGAGACACGGCCCAGACUCCUACGGGAGGCAGCAGCGAGGAAUUUUAGUCAAUGGGCGAAAGCCUGAACUAGCGACGCCGCGUGGGGGAUGAAGGUUUUCGGAUUGUAAACCCCUUUUAUCAGGGAGGAAUAAAAUGACAGUACCUGAUGAAUAAGCCAUGGCUAACUACGUGCCAGCAGCCGCGGUAAUAAGGGCGA
rnacentral:rRNA from 1 species